UACAGCCAUAUCAUGUUGAAACAUUGGUUCCUGUAUGAUCACCACAGUUAAGCAAUGUCAAGCCUUGUCAGUACCUAGAUGGAUGACUGCUUGGGAAUCGCAGGUACUGUAAG